rnacentral:rRNA from 1 species
UACCAGACUCCUACGGGAGGCAGCAGUGGGGAAUAUUGCACAAUGGGGGAAACCCUGAUGCAGCAACGCCGCGUGAGUGAAGAAGUAUUUCGGUAUGUAAAGCCCUAUCAGCAGGGAAGAAGGAAGACGGUACCUGACUAAGAAGCCCCGGCUAACUACGUGCCAGCAGCCGCGGUAAUACGUAGGGGGCGAGCGUUAUCCGGAUUUACUGGGUGUAAAGGGAGCGUAGACGGUUAAUCAAGUCUGAAGUGAAAGCCCGCGGCUCAACUGCGGAACGGCUUUGGAAACUGAGUAACUAGAGUGCUGGAGGGGCAGGCGGAAUUCCUGGUGUAGCGGUGAAAUGCGUAGAUAUCAGGAGGAACACCAGUGGCGGAGGCGGCUUACUGGACGGUAACUGACGCUGAGGCUCGAAAGCGUGGGGAGCAAACAGGAUUAGAUACCCCGGUAA